AUUGAACGCUGGCGGUAUGCUUAACACAUGCAAGUCGAACGGGGCUCUUCGGAGCUUAGUGGCGGACGGGUGAGUAACGCGUGAGGAUCUGGCUUCAGGACGGGGACAACAGUUGGAAACGACUGCUAAUACCCGAUGUGCCGAGAGGUGAAAAGGAAUCCGCCUGAAGAUGAACUCGCGUCUGAUUAGCUAGUUGGUGGGGUAAGAGCCCACCAAGGCGACGAUCAGUAACUGGUCUGAGAGGAUGGCCAGUCACACUGGGACUGAGACACGGCCCAGACUCCUACGGGAGGCAGCAGUGGGGAAUUUUCCGCAAUGGGCGCAAGCCUGACGGAGCAAUACCGCGUGCGGGAGGACGGCUUUUGGGUUGUAAACCGCUUUUAUUGGGGAAGAAGGUCUGACGGUACCCAAUGAAUCAGCAUCGGCUAACUCCGUGUCAGCAGCCGCCGUAAGAC
rnacentral:rRNA from 1 species